CUGAGUACUACACUCUCUACCCUUUGUGAACUAUUAUACCUGUUGCUUCGGCGGCGCCCGCGAGGGUGCCCGCCGGUCUCAUCAGAAUCUCUGUUUUCGAACCCGACGAUACUUCUGAGUGCUCUUAGCGAACUGUCA
rnacentral:misc_RNA from 1 species